rnacentral:snRNA from 8 species
AUACUUACCUGGCAAGGGAGAUACCGUGAUCGAGAAGGCGGUUCACCCAGGGCGAGGCUCAGCCAUUGCACUCCGGCUGUGCUGACCCCUGCGAAUUUCCCAAAUGUGGAAAUCUCGAUUGCAUAAUUUAUGGUAGUGGGGGACUGCGUUCGCGCUCGCCCCUG